AGUGAACGCUGGUGGUAGGCCUAACACAUGCAGGUCGAACGGCAGCACAGGAGAGCUUGCUCUCUGGGUGGCGAGUGGCGGACGGGUGAGGAAUACAUCGGAAUCUACUUUUUCGUGGGGGAUAACGUAGGGAAACUUACGCUAAUACCGCAUACGACCUACGGGUGAAAGCAGGGGACCUUCGGGCCUUGCGCGAUUGAAUGAGCCGAUGUCGGAUUAGCUAGUUGGCGGGGUAAAGGCCCACCAAGGCGACGAUCCGUAGCUGGUCUGAGAGGAUGAUCAGCCACACUGGAACUGAGACACGGUCCAGACUCCUACGGGAGGCAGCAGUGGGGAAUAUUGGACAAUGGGCGCAAGCCUGAUCCAGCCAUACCGCGUGGGUGAAGAAGGCCUUCGGGUUGUAAAGCCCUUUUGUUGGGAAAGAAAUCCAGCUGGCUAAUACCCGGUUGGGAUGACGGUACCCAAAGAAUAAGCACCGGCUAACUUCGUGCCAGCAGCCGCCGUAA
rnacentral:rRNA from 1 species